AGAACGGGAAACAGCCGUACGCAUCUCCCAGGAGAUUGGGAACCUUAUGAAGGAAAUCGAGACCCUUGUGGAAGAGAAGACCAAGGAGUCACUGGAUGUGAGCAGACUGACCCGGGAAGGUGGCCCCCUGCUGUAUGAAGGCAUCAGUCUCACCAUGAACUCCAAACUCCUGAAUGGUUCCCAGCGGGUGGUGAUGGAUGGCGUAAUCUCUGACCACGAGUGUCAGGAGCUGCAGAGACUGACCAACGUGGCAGCAACCUCAGGAGAUGGCUACCGGGGUCAGACCUCCCCACAUACUCCCAAUGAAAAGUUCUAUGGUGUCACUGUCUUCAAAGCCCUCAAGAGGGGCAUUGUGUUAGUCCGUUUUCACGCUGCUGAUAAAGACGUACCCGAGACUGGGCAAUUUACAAAAGAAAGAGGUUUAAUUGGACUUACAGUUCCAUGUGGCUGGGG
rnacentral:sRNA from 1 species